UACGUAGGGUGCGAGCGUUAAUCGGAAUUACUGGGCGUAAAGGGCGCGUAGGCGGUUCUAUAAGUCAGAUGUGAAAGCCCCGGGCUUAACCUGGGAGGUGCAUUUGAAACUGUAGGGCUUGAGAUCGAGAGAGGAAAGUGGAAUUACGAGUGUAGAGGUGAAAUUCGUAGAUAUUCGUAAGAACACCAGUGGCGAAGGCGACUUUCUGGCUCGAUACUGACGCUAAGGCGCGAAAGCGUGGGGAGCAAACAGG
rnacentral:rRNA from 1 species